GGUUAAGUGAAUAAGGGCGCACGGUGGAUGCCUUGGCACUAGGAGCCGAUGAAGGACGGGACUAACACCGAUAUGCUUUGGGGAGCUGUAAGUAAGCUAUGAUCCAGAGAUUUCCGAAUGGGGGAACCCAAUAUCUUUUAUAGGAUAUUACUUUUCAGUGAAUACAUAGCUGAUUAGAGGUAGACGCAGAGAACUGAAACAUCUUAGUACCUGCAGGAAGAGAAAGAAAAUUCGAUUCCCUGAGUAGCGGCGAGCGAAACGGGAAGAGCCCAAACCAACAAGCUUGCUUGUUGGGGUUGUAGGACUCCAAUAUGGUAGUCUGUUAGUAUAGUUGAAGGAUUUGGAAAAUUCCGCUAAAGAGGGUGAAAGCCCCGUAGACGAAAUGCUGACAACACCUAGGAGGAUCCUGAGUACGGCGGAACACGAGAAAUUCCGUCGGAAUCCGCGGGGACCAUCCCGCAAGGCUAAAUACUCCCUAGUGACCGAUAGUGAACCAGUACCGUGAGGGAAAGGUGAAAAGCACCCCGGAAGGGGAGUGAAAUAGAUCCUGAAACCGUGUGCCUACAACAAGUCAAAGCUCGUUAAUGAGUGAUGGCGUGCCUUUUGUAGAAUGAACCGGCGAGUUACGAUUGCAUGCGAGGUUAAGUCGAAGAGACGGAGCCGCAGCGAAAGCGAGUCUGAAUAGGGCGAAUGAGUAUGUAGUCGUAGACCCGAAACCAUGUGAUCUACCCAUGUCCAGGUUGAAGGUGCGGUAAAACGCACUGGAGGACCGAACCCACGUACGUUGAAAAGUGCGGGGAUGAGGUGUGGGUAGCGGAGAAAUUCCAAACGAACUUGGAGAUAGCUGGUUCUCUCCGAAAUAGCUUUAGGGCUAGCCUCGGAAUUGAGAAUGAUGGAGGUAGAGCACUGUUUGGACUAGGGGCCCAUCUUCCGUAGUCGAAAGGGAAACAGCCCAGACCACCAGCUAAGGUCCCAAAAUAUAUGUUAAGUGGAAAAGGAUGUGGGGUUGCACAGACAACUAGGAUGUUGGCUUAGAAGCAGCCACCAUUUAAAGAGUGCGUAAUAGCUCACUAGUCGAGUGACCCUGCGCCGAAAAUGUACCGGGGCUAAACAUAUUACCGAAGCUGUGGACUACACCAUUAGGUGUAGUGGUAGGAGAGCGUUCUAAGGGCGUUGAAGGUCGAUCGUGAGGACGGCUGGAGCGCUUAGAAGUGAGAAUGCCGGUAUGAGUAGCGAAAGACAGGUGAGAAUCCUGUCCACCGUAUGACUAAGGUUUCCUGGGGAAGGCUCGUCCGCCCAGGGUUAGUCGGGACCUAAGCCGAGGCCGAUAGGCGUAGGCGAUGGACAACAGGUUGAUAUUCCUGUACCAGUUGUUUUUGUUUGAGCAAUGGAGGGACGCAGUAGGCUAAGGAAUGCAUGCGAUUGGAAGUGCAUGUCCAAGCAAUGAGUCUUGAGUAGAGUUAAAUGCUUUACUCUUUAAGGACAAGUUGUGACGGGGAGCGAAAUAAUAGUAGCGAAGUUCCUGAUGUCACACUGCCAAGAAAAGCUUCUAGUGAGAAAACAACUGCCCGUACCGUAAACCGACACAGGUAGUCGAGGAGAGUAUCCUAAGGUGAGCGAGCGAACUCUCGUUAAGGAACUCGGCAAAAUGACCCCGUAACUUCGGGAGAAGGGGUGCUGACUUCGGUCAGCCGCAGUGAAUAGGCCCAAGCGACUGUUUAUCAAAAACACAGGUCUCUGCAAAAUCGUAAGAUGAAGUAUAGGGGCUGACGCCUGCCCGGUGCUGGAAGGUUAAGAGGAUGGGUUAGCUUCGGCGAAGCUCAGAAUUGAAGCCCCAGUAAACGGCGGCCGUAACUAUAACGGUCCUAAGGUAGCGAAAUUCCUUGUCGGGUAAGUUCCGACCCGCACGAAAGGCGUAACGA
rnacentral:rRNA from 1 species